CGCGGGGUAGAGCAGUUUGGUAUCGCAAGGCUCAUAACCUUGAGGUCACGGGUUCAAAUCCUGUCUCCGCAA
rnacentral:tRNA from 1 species